GAUGAACGCUGGCGGCGUGCCUAAUACAUGCAAGUCGAACGCUGAAGGAGGAGCUUGCUCUUCUGGAUGAGUUGCGAACGGGUGAGUAACGCGUAGGUAACCUGCCCGGUAGCGGGGGAUAACUAUUGGAAACGAUAGCUAAUACCGCAUGACAACAGUUAUUGCAUGAUAACUGUUUAAAAGGGGCAACUGCUCCACUACCAGAUGGACCUGCGUUGUAUUAGCUAGUUGGUGAGGUAACGGCUCACCAAGGCGACGAUACAUAGCCGACCUGAGAGGGUGAGCGGCCACACUGGGACUGAGACACGGCCCAGACUCAUACGGGAGGCAGCAGUAGGGAAUCUUCGGCAAGGGACGGAAGUCUGACCGAGCAACGCCGCGUGAGUGAAGAAGGUUGUCGGAUCGUAAAGGUCUGUUGUAAGAGAAGAAAGAGUGUGAGAGUGGAAAGUUCACACUGUGACGGUAUCUGAUCAGAAAGGGACGGCUAACUACGUG
rnacentral:rRNA from 1 species